AAGUGCAACUCGUACACGCUAGCAAAGUACUUACCUUCGAUUAUUUUACUUAACAAGUAAGAAAAUGCAUGCGUUCGCUUCGGUUGUAUUGAUUGACCGUGCCGUGUCUGGAGUAUGUACUUAGAAAAAACUGAAUCGUUAAUCGUGCGGAAAGUGUUAAGGCAUUGCCGUUUUGUCAACACAUUUGCCGAAUUUUCCAACACAUAUUUAGGAAAACCUGAAACCAACGUUAUAUACGUUUAGUAUUUAGGCCCUUAAUAAAGUGUGAACAAAAUCAAAAGCAUUUGAAAAUCAAAAAUAAAUAUAUAACAAAAAAUUAUUAGACAAUGAACAUAUUGGCGAAAUUGUAACUAAGGCGGCAAAAUGAAAAACAAAGAAAAGUCUUGAACUUUUCAGAUUAACACUUCAAAGCCGCUCAUUAAAUGUCGGUUCAAGAUGAUCAACACCCGGAAAAUUAAUUGGUUUUAACUUUUUUCCACAUUUUUAAAGGUGCGCUAGGCAAAAAAAAAAAUAAAUAAAUAAUUAAUCGUGAAUGUGAUAUAAGUAUUUGAGCGAAAAUAAGCUUAGGCGACUACCAAAAUAUAAACAAAAAAAAGGACCAUUCGUUCGACCCGCCAAUUUCAUACGAACGACAACAUAAAAACAACUACAAGGCAUCAAAACCAACCGCUGACAAGCCGUGCAAAAGAAGUGUAAAAUUGUGUUAUGAAAAACGGUGGGAAAAUUUUAGCCAAAAAAAUUUGAUCAAAAACAUAGCAAAAAAUUUAAGUUGUGCUGUACUUCGAAAUGACGGCAAUAGCAGUGAAAUUGCAGUACAGCCCCAACGAACAUUGAAGCAACGAAUUUAGCUACUUUGUCGCGACAACCAAACCACCAACACAACCAAGCAGCAAAAA